rnacentral:rRNA from 1 species
UACGUAGGGGGCUAGCGUUGUUCGGAAUUACUGGGCGUAAAGGGCGUGUAGGCGGCCCGUUAAGACAGGUGUGAAAUUCCUGGGCUCAACCCAGGACGUGCGCCUGUGACUGGCGGGCUUGAGUCCGGGAGAGGAUGGUGGAACUCCCAGUGUAGAGGUGAAAUUCGUAGAUAUUGGGAAGAACACCCGUGGCGAAGGCGGCCAUCUGGACCGGUACUGACGCUAAGGCGCGACAGCGUGGGGAGCAAACAGG